AUGCCAAUAAAUUCAAUAAACUGGGGAUCACGAUUAUGAUCAACAUUCACUUUUGAAAGGGCCAUGGAGGAAAAUGAACCAGGAAGAUCCUCCCUGGGGCAGAGCUACCACACUAGAGGCACACAGUAUUGAGUAUAAUGAGACUUACAGAGAAGAAUAUAGCAAUCUGGGGAAGCAGACCACACUUACUGAAAGUAGCACUGCAGAAGUAGUGUUUAUUAAUUUAGAUUGUAAUUUGAAAUUGCCACAUUAUUCAUUUCUAAGAUUUCAAAUUGCUUUAUAUCUGACAGUUUGUACUUCAGACCUGCCUAUUUUUGUUUUACAGGUCCUAUUUAGUUACUAAUGGAUAUUGAUCCUUUAUUUCUCAGAUUUGUUUUGAUAUGUUUAUCACAUUUUUCUAUUAAGAGAAAUUCCACUUAGAGUCAGUUCCUUUCCAAAGUUGAUUUUGUUGGCUCUCUCUCAUGGCAUUGCAUUUCUUCACAUUUUACAGUUGUGAUUUGCAAGUUUUUUAAGUAGACUUUUUAGUUUGUUUCAUUCUUUGGUAGAUUGUAUUAAUGUUUCUAAUUCUUUACUCCUUCCCUUUUACAGAAUUAUAACUGGACAUCUUUUGCCAGGUGACUUUUCAGUGCCUUCCACUAUAGUAGAUGGAAUAUACUUCCCCACUCCAUUGAGUCCAUUUUUUGUUGGCUAACCUGUAGUUUUAAGAUUGUAAUUUUUUUAAAUCUAGUUACCUUGAUUGCUUUUUAGAGAGCUAUUAGUCCCAAUAACUUAGACCACCAUUAUUUAAAAAUGGAAUUCCUAACCACAAUGUGUGCACCUCAUCAUAGGAAGGAACACAAAUGGGGGAGUAGAAGAAAACAGAAAUGUAUUAAUAGGCGACAGUGAGUACUUCAGCUUUAUGUGUAAUGUUUUAUUUCUUGUAUUACAAAGUAAAAGAUAUGAAGCAUUUGACUAAAAAUGUUAAUUUAUAUAAUUUGAAUGAUGGGUACAUGGGCAGUUGUUAUAUUUAUAUAUACUUUUAUGUAUUCUAAAUUUUUUUCUCAAAAUAAAAAAGAGAAACAGUCAA
rnacentral:lncRNA from 1 species